rnacentral:rRNA from 1 species
UACGGAGGGGGCUAGCGUUGUUCGGAAUUACUGGGCGUAAAGCGCACGUAGGCGGCUUUGUAAGUUAGAGGUGAAGGCCCGGAGCUCAACUCCGGAAUUGCCUUUAAGACUGCAUCGCUCGAAUCAUGGAGAGGUGAGUGGAAUUCCGAGUGUAGAGGUGAAAUUCGUAGAUAUUCGGAGGAACACCAGUGGCGAAGGCGGCUCACUGGUCCGGGUACUGACGCUGAGGUGCGAAAGCGUGGGGAGCAAACAGG